AGAUUGAACGCUGGCGGCAGGCCUAGCACAUGCAAGUCGAGCGGCAGCACGGGUACUUGUACCUGGUGGCGAGCGGCGGACGGGUGAGUAAUGCCUAGGAAUCUGCCUGGUAGUGGGGGAUAACGCUCGGAACCGGACGCUAAUACCGCAUACGUCCUACGGGAGAAAGCAGGGGACCUUCGGGCCUUGCGCUAUCAGAUGAGCCUAGGUCGGAUUAGCUAGUUGGUGAGGUAAUGGCUCA
rnacentral:rRNA from 1 species